UACGAAGGGUGCUAGCGUUGUUCGGAAUUACUGGGCGUAAAGCGCGCGUAGGCGGCUUCUCAAGUCAGGGGUGAAAUCCUGGGGCUUAACCCCAGAAUUGCCUUUGAAACUGUGAAGCUAGAGUGUCGGAGGGGAUAGCGGAAUUGCUAAUGUAGAGGUGAAAUUCGUAGAUAUUAGCAGGAACACCGGUGGCGAAGGCGGCUAUCUGGACGACAACUGACGCUGAGGCGCGAAAGCGUGGGGAUCAAACAGG
rnacentral:rRNA from 1 species